rnacentral:rRNA from 1 species
AUUGAACGCUGGCGGAAUGCUUUACACAUGCAAGUCGAACGGUAGAGGGGGCAACCCCUCGAGAGUGGCGAACGGGUGAGUAAUAUAUCGGAAGGUGCCCAGUCGUGGGGGAUAACGUAGCGAAAGUUACGCUAAUACCGCAUACGAUCUAAGGAUGAAAGCGGGGGAUCGCAAGACCUCGCGUGAUUGGAGCGGCCGAUAUCAGAUUAGGUAGUUGGUGGGGUAAAGGCUAACCAAGCCAACGAUCUGUAGCUGGUCUGAGAGGACGACCAGCCACACUGGAACUGAGACACGGUCCAGACUCCUACGGGAGGCAGCAGUGGGGAAUUUUGGACAAUGGACGCAAGUCUGAUCCAGCCAUUCCGCGUGCAGGAUGAAGGCCCUCGGGUUGUAAACUGCUUUUGUACGGAACGAAAAGGUCUCUCUUAAUACGGGGGGCUCAUGACGGUACCGUAAGAAUAAGCACCGGCUAACUACAUGCCAGCCGCCGCAGUAA